AAGUAUUUUGAGUUUAUUAUGUCUCAAAAAAAAAUUAAUGACAUAUCUAAUAGGCAUUAAAAGAUCUACAACAGAAGCUCAAAAAUGGAAUAGAUGUAUAGAUCUGGAAUUAUUUACACAGAAAUAAUUAAACCCAUGGGAGGUUCUGACUGAGACAGUACAGAGGAAAAAAAGGAAAGGGCCCAGGUCAGAGAACAUCCACAGUUGGGAGAGGGGGAAACGAAGAACAUGGCAAAUAAGCCAACUAAAGAGACUAAGAUGGAUCAAUCAGACAAGAUGGAGCCGGAAAAAAAGAAGAGAAUAAUGUCCUAGCAAUCCAAAGAGAAAAGACUGUCCAAGAGGAGGUUGUCAAACAUGCCAAAUGCAGCAGGUACAUAAGAAAGUCAAAGCCAAGUGAGAAGAACAUAUCCUGGAGACAGACAGAGGGGCAAAAUAAUACCAAGAGCUAAAGAGAAGAUGAUGCAGACUGAGAAAAAUCAUCGAAAUCAGCAGCUAAAUGAAAAUUAAUAAAACUGGAAAAAGCAGUUUCAGUAAAGUGAUACAGUCAACAAGUAGACUUCCAGGAGUGGAAAAAUAAACAGCAGCAGCAGAUCUUUUUUGUCAUGGCAAAGAAUCGGAAAUUGAGGAAAUGCCCAUCAAUUAGCUCAUGGCUGAGCAAACUAUGGCAUAAGAUUAAGAAAGUGUAUCACUAUAUUUUGAGAAAUGAUGCGGGAAGUAGUUUCAGAAAAGAAAACAUGGCAAGAUCUCCAUGAGCGGAUGGCAAAGUGAAAUGAGAAGAACCAGGAUGUCAAUGUGCAUAGUUCAGCAAUGUGAUGAUAGUCAACAGUGAAAGACUUGGUCACUCUGGUAAAUACAGAUUGAAAAUAAUUCCAAAA